GCCGCCCCCUUCCUCCUCCACACCACCUUUUCUCCCUUCCAUGCCCUGAUUCUUCCUUCUAGAUCAGAUCUAGAGAGAGGCCUUAGAGAGAGAAAAAAAAAUCAAAAAGUAGUUCUUGAUAUUUCUUUGUAGUUAGGAUCAAUCCCUAGGAUCCACCAACAGGACUGCUUCAAGUAAUACAAGGAUAAGGGUCCUAAUCCAAGCCGAAGAAUGAAGCCUGCC
rnacentral:lncRNA from 1 species